GUCCCCAUCGUCUAGAGGCCUAGGACACCUGGUUUUCAUCCAGGCAACAGGGGUUCGACUCCCCUUGGGGACGCCA
rnacentral:tRNA from 4 species